rnacentral:lncRNA from 1 species
CCAGAAGCAGGGGCUCAGUGUUUCUGGUGGGGGCACCUGAAGUUGUUUCAUCCUCCUGAGGUGCCUCAGGUGAGGUAGUUUAAAGUUUCUCAUGAGAUGGAGGCUUCCCUCAGCCUGGUGUCUCUUGAAGUUCCAUGGAGUGCCAGGAGUAGGAGCAUCCACUCUGCACCCAGCACUGUGGGCCACCAUGACACCGGUGGUCUCUUCACAGUCCACUCAGUGCUGGUGUAGCCUGUGACAGUGACAGCUGGGGCUGCUGCUGAUGUGCAUUGUUACUGAUGACUCCUCAGUCCCUUGAAUAUGAAGCUUGGGUGUGAAGGUCUCAGUGAGUGUGCUGUCUGUCUUCCUAGCUGUGCACAACAUGACACCAGUGACUUCCCAUUUAGGCUUUGGUCCCCCCACCCCAAAUACUCCUCUCCGUCAGAGGAAUAUACUUCUGAGAGAAAUGUAAAGAGAGAGGAAUCAGAAGACCUGGAGUGAGAGGCCCUCUGAGGCAGGAGGAUGAGCAUAGGUACAUGGACUGGGUCAGUCAUUUGGAUGCCAGCAGAGGAACUUAGUUCUAAUUCCUUAAACUACAGGGAACCUUGAUGCCAGGACCAGAAGCCUUGGAGUAAGGCAACUCUGGAGCAGCUUACUUCCCUUCUGCUCACUCGCUGUUCUGCUCCUUGACUGUAGACCUGGCAUGCACAUUGGAAGGAUGCAUUUCUCCCUGCACCCAGACAAAUAGCCUUAAGGAGAGUUAGAGUAUCACUCUCCUCUAUUUAGCCGGUCAGGGUUGAUUCUGAGCUCCGGGAGACAUUGAUCCUUCCUCAGGAGAGAAGGCGGUGGUGAGCAGAGUUCUGACAAGAAGCAAUAGCAACGGGAAUGGAGAAGGCCAAAGAGGAUGCAGAAGUCCUACGAGUCGAUAUGGACAGAAAGCAGUGCUUACGUCCAUCAGAGAUGCAAGGAGAAAGUGGCUGCAGGGCAGCUCAGGUGAAGGAGGAUUCACUUAUGGGAGAUGGGGUGCAGAACAGAAAGUACUGAUGAGGAGAUGGGGUGUAGAAGAGGAGGCGGGGGUGACUCGAGGACCAGAAUAUAGUGAGACUGAGGAUAAUCUAGGAGUCAUUUGUUAUUGUUAUUGUUGUUUGU